GGGCCCGCACAAGCGGUGGAGCAUGUGGCUUAAUUCGAUGCAACGCGAGGAACCUUACCUGGGCUAAAUCCACAGUGAUGUCUUCUGGAAACAGGAGGUCCCUUAGGGGCACUAUGGAAGGUGCUGCAUGGCUGUCGUCAGCUCGUGCCGUGAGGUGUUGGUUAAGUCCCGCAACGAGCGCAACCCCUGUGGUUAGUUAGCCAGCACGUAAAGGUGGGGACUCUAGCCAGACUGCCUACGCAAGUAGUGAGGAAGGUGGGGACGACGUCAAGUCAUCAUGGCCCUUACGUCCAGGGCUGCACACGUGCUACAAUGCUACGGACAAAGGGCAGCAAGUUCGCGAGGAC
rnacentral:rRNA from 1 species